AAGUAAUUCAUGCCAUCUUCAGCUGAAGCACGCAAACAAAAUUAACCUUAAAACUAUUUCUUACUUAAGUUUUACAAGUUGGUGGCUCUCUGCCAAAAUAAGCAACCUGAAACUCCCGAGGGCAAGACUUUGAAAGGUCGGUGACUCUGUUGCAAUUCCAGUGAUGUGGAUUUUAGGCCAACUCAAAACAGUCUUCUUUGUUUUGGCGGCCUUUCUGUGGUGUUGAAGUCGAGUCUCGGUGUCGGUGGUCUUGGCGACCAGAUGCAGGAAGGGGUGCGCCGUG